AAAUGUAUAAUUGUGCAUAUAG
rnacentral:miRNA from 1 species